AAUAUUGCGCAAUGGAGGGAACUCUGACGCAGCGACGUGGCGUGGGUGAUGAAGGUUUUCGGAUCGUAAAGCUCUGUCCUUGGGGAAGAAGGUCUUCGGACUUGACUGUACCUAAGGAGGAAGCCCCGGCUAACUACGUGCCAUCAGCCGCGGUAAUACGUAGGGGGCAAGCGUUGUCCGGAAUUAUUGGGCGUAAAGGGUGCGUGGGCGGCCUUUUAAGUCAGAUGUGAAAGCCCACGGCUUAACCGUGGGACUGCAUUUGAAACUGGAGGGCUUGAGUAUCGGAGAGGGUAGUGGAAUUCCCAGUGUAGCGGUGGAAUGCGUAGAUAUUGGGAGGAGCACCAGUGGCGAAGGCGACUACCUGGACGAAAACUGACGUUGAGGCACGAAAGCUAGGGGAGCAAAC
rnacentral:rRNA from 1 species